ACCCUGGUCCUGGAGAGCUGCAGGGUCUGCUGGUUUUCAUGGUGACUCUGCACUUCAUGAAUCAAUUAGAACCGUUGAUUACACAGUUAACUCAACUCACCUGGUGUCUUGGGUCUCAAUUGGGUGCUGAUUUUAAGGUGAAAACAAAAACCAGCAGACCCUGUAGCUCUCCAGGACCAGGGUUGGAGACUACUGCUUUAGUCCAUGGUCCAUAUUUGGAAGGGAGACACCUGAUUCAACUAAUUAGCUAAUCAUGGUCAUGUUCUUCAAUCAAGACCUCGAUUAGCAGACUCAGGUGUUUGAGUGUUGGGUCCUUCAGAUUCAGACACGUGUUGCCGGGAAAUUGUUAGAGACUUGAGGAAAUAGUGAGAAGGCCCAGGAUCGAAAGACAUUGGAGGCAAAUUACUCAGGUUUUCUUUUCUUUUCUUUUUUGUGGAGAACUGUGGUUUUGUUUUGGGAACGUUGGUUACAGUGAGGCACUGUUUUGUGUUUUGCUGCUUCUUUGCAAAGCUUCCAGCAGUUUUUCUAAUCUUGCUCUCAUCAUUUACCCCAAAGGGAUCUUUUCUUCCCCCCCCCCCCCUCUUUGAUAAUUGUUUUGCAUGCAAAAAAACAUUUGAACAACAACAACGACAACAACAGCAACACUCCUCUAGGCUGGCCAAUAAGAACGACCUUGCCGCUUCUACUCUGAAUCAUCACCCACUGCCCACGGACCCCGGCCUGCUCAGCUGCGCCGUCGCCACGGCAACCAGCGCUCCCGAGGGGGGGGGGCGGCGAGGCGUUCUGCGGUUGCCUCAUGCCGAAGAUGAACAGGCAGUGGAAAUGUGUGCUCGGUUACUGAGGCGACCCUGGGGGUUUUGCUGACCCUAAUGCGCUCCAGCGUAAAUCACACCCACCUUAGAUUGUGUGGCCCUGGAAUGGAUUGAGCCUAAAGGACUGCACGGUGUUUAUGCUAGCAGCUAGCUCUGCUAAGACACAGCAACCCCCCCCAGGAGACGUGUAUGGAGCAGGACCUUGGAGAGCGCGCGGAGACGAGCGGGCAGGCCUACCUUGCGCAGAGCAGCUCACGCGCUAAGCUCUUCCAACAGGU